UGGAAAGCUGUCACAGAACCUAAGUCCGU
rnacentral:piRNA from 1 species